AACGGUCCUAAGGUAGCGAAAUUCCUUGUCGGGUAAGUUCCGACCCGCACGAAAGGCGUAACGAUUUGGGCACUGUCUCAACAACAGACUCGGUGAAAUUGUAAUUCCGGUGAAGAUGCCGGAUACCUGCGACAGGACGGAAAGACCCCAUGGAGCUUUACUGUAGCUUGACAUUGGGUCUUGGUACUACAUGUACAGGAUAGGUGGGAGGC
rnacentral:rRNA from 1 species